UCAGCAGACUGCGUCGGGCGAAUGUUUUAGUACAAAACGCAAGCAAUUACAGCUGAUGAGAAUCAACGCACAACGCGGCAUUCUGUUUCCACCUUUAUAGUUUCUGCAGAAAAUAAUUGAUUGCGCAUUGGAAUACAUUGGAAUAAAAGAUUAUGUACCAAUCAACGGAAUAUAACAUCCGAUGGGACGCCUUGGGAUAGCAGCUCGCAUAGCCGUUCCCUCACAGCUUCCAGCUUCUGAGGACUUUGCUCGAGAACAAUCUGAUUGGCGGUUUCUCGGAGGAAUACUUGCCAGUCGAUUCCCGGUACCUGUUGGUUCACCGUGAACGGAUGCUGUUGUACCUUGCAAGCUUCCAGCAUGAGGAUAGCGCUUCGCGAAUUGCUCUCGGAAUUUCAGACAACUGUGAACCCAAAACAAGAAGAACGGCAAACAGUCAUGGAAGUUAUAGUUUCUGCACAUAAUUAUUUAUUGCGUAUUCGUAUACAUUUGAAUUAAAGAGCUGUAAGCGGUCACAGGAGGUUAGUCAUCAGAUUCUAAAUACCACACACCAACGACGCGGAUGCGACGGUUUACCAUUUGUGAGCGUAUUUACUGAUGAAGGUUGCGUUAAUGGAUAAUUUUUUGUUGCAUGUUAUCGCUUCCUGGCUACGGGAAACUGACAGGGUGAGGUUCCCAUCUACAGGGUGUACAAGGUUUUGAAGGAAAAAUAUCCCUCACUCGAGGAAACCAUUUAGAACCUCAUGAAAUUAAGCGGAUGAAUUGCCUACAUACGAGUUGUUGGUCAUAGCAUCCCAGACGUGCCAAAUGCGGUCAGGUUGAUACGCCUGAAGAGUGGCAGUUUUCCGGAAUUUCUCGAUGAGGAAGAGAAUCUUGAAAACAUAACGCUGCCUGGGAGCAGAAAUUAAUUAGAUGCGUAGCUUGCGUUUUGUGGUAGUUCAGUUUGGACAGCUCACGCGGACGGUAGCAGUCUACCCCGAGAGUCAUUGUACUGUAUAAGAUGAAACAGAGCGCACAAAAUAUAAACAGUGCCCCCUAAAAACUUACAAGAGUAAAUGUCAUCACCUCCAGAGAUGCCAGAUGAUUUUUUUGGAAGUUUUCGACGAGAAUUUGAAAUGUUUAUGUGCAUAAAUAUCUGCAAGCUACCUUUGUAUCCGCGAGAAUCGCAAAAUAGUGUCUAAAAAAAGAGGUUGUUAGCGGAGGAAGCUGAUUCUAAUCAUGAUAAGUGAAGUGGAAGGUAAAACGUAAUGUCAGAAUUGCCGUUCGGACGUAUCCCGUAAGUUUGAACUUAUUUACAUAGAUGGUAUCCAAUCAACACUAAACAUUGACUACAGUUUCGCCGGCACGGUUGAUUGCCGUUAUGAACCAGCACAAAAAACAAAGCUGCAAAUUAUACGCCAGUGGUACCACGGUACCACGAUCAAAGCAUACCUUGAAUCACAUUAGCCGAACCAGCUGGCGGAAGCAUAUGCAUAAAGGUUACUAGGUUACAAUUUUCAACGACAACUGUUUAUUUAUUAUACUGCUUCAAAUACCUUCGACGAAAUCAAAUGUAACCAUAUCAACGUAAGUAAUAACAUAAACAAAUCCAAACUUUUCGUCUUGCCAUUCCUCAUACGUCUUUUCUAAAUAGUGUAAAUUACGAGCCACCUGUUAACUCUACCAUCUUGAUUCUAAUAUUGCAGUGUAGCAAAAAACAGAAAUAAUUAGUAAAUAUAACGAAUUUUUUGGUAAAUACUACCAAUCUAUAGUCAUUUUC